rnacentral:rRNA from 1 species
AGCGAACAUUGGCGGUAGGCUUAACACACGCAAGUCGAGCGAGGCGUAAUAGUCGAGCGGCGAACGGGUGCGUAAUACAUGGGAAUCUAACUCGAAGUGGGGGAUAACGUCCAGAAAUGGACGCUAAUACCGCAUAAUCCAUAUCGGGAAAGCGUUGCAGCGCUUUGAGAUGAGCCCAUGGCUGAUUAUCUUGUUGGUGAGGUAACGGCUCACCAAGGCGACGAUCAGUAGCUGGUCUGAGAGGAUGACCAGCCGCACUGGAACUGAGACACGGUCCAGACUCCUACGGGAGGCAGCAGUGGGGAAUCUUGCGCAAUGGGGGCAACCCUAACGCAGCCAUACCGCGUGAGUGAUGAAGGUCUUCGGAUUGUAAAGCUCUUUCGGCAGGGACGACGAUGACGGUACCUGCAAAAGAAGUCACGGCUAACUUCGUGCCAGCCGCCGCCGUAA